rnacentral:rRNA from 1 species
CGGAGCUUGCUCCACCGGAAAAAGAAGAGUGGCGAACGGGUGAGUAACACGUGGGUAACCUGCCCAUCAGAAGGGGAUAACACUUGGAAACAGGUGCUAAUACCGUAUAACAAUCGAAACCGCAUGGUUUUGAUUUGAAAGGCGCUUUCGGGUGUCGCUGAUGGAUGGACCCGCGGUGCAUUAGCUAGUUGGUGAGGUAACGGCUCACCAAGGCCACGAUGCAUAGCCGACCUGAGAGGGUGAUCGGCCACAUUGGGACUGAGACACGGCCCAAACUCCUACGGGAGGCAGCAGUAGGGAAUCUUCGGCAAUGGACGAAAGUCUGACCGAGCAACGCCGCGUGAGUGAAGAAGGUUUUCGGAUCGUAAAACUCUGUUGUUAGAGAAGAACAAGGAUGAGAGUAACUGUUCAUCCCUUGACGGUAUCUAACCAGAAAGCCACGGCUAACUACGUGCCAGCAGCCGCGGUAAUACGUAGGUGGCAAGCGUUGUCCGGAUUUAUUGGGCGUAAAGCGAGCGCAGGCGGUUUCUUAAGUCUGAUGUGAAAGCCCCCGGCUCAACCGGGGAGGGUCAUUGGAAACUGGGAGACUUGAGUGCAGAAGAGGAGAGUGGAAUUCCAUGUGUAGCGGUGAAAUGCGUAGAUAUAUGGAGGAACACCAGUGGCGAAGGCGGCUCUCUGGUCUGUAACUGACGCUGAGGCUCGAAAGCGUGGGGAGCAAACAGGAUUAGAUACCCUGGUAGUCCACGCCGUAAACGAUGAGUGCUAAGUGUUGGAGGGUUUCCGCCCUUCAGUGCUGCAGCUAACGCAUUAAGCACUCCGCCUGGGGAGUACGACCGCAAGGUUGAAACUCAAAGGAAUUGACGGGGGCCCGCACAAGCGGUGGAGCAUGUGGUUUAAUUCGAAGCAACGCGAAGAACCUUACCAGGUCUUGACAUCCUUUGACCACUCUAGAGAUAGAGCUUCCCCUUCGGGGGCAAAGUGACAGGUGGUGCAUGGUUGUCGUCAGCUCGUGUCGUGAGAUGUUGGGUUAAGUCCCGCAACGAGCGCAACCCUUAUUGUUAGUUGCCAUCAUUUAGUUGGGCACUCUAGCAAGACUGCCGGUGACAAACCGGAGGAAGGUGGGGAUGACGUCAAAUCAUCAUGCCCCUUAUGACCUGGGCUACACACGUGCUACAAUGGGAAGUACAACGAGUCGCGAAGUCGCGAGGCUAAGCUAAUCUCUUAAAGCUUCUCUCAGUUCGGAUUGUAGGCUGCAACUCGCCUACAUGAAGCCGGAAUCGCUAGUAAUCGCGGAUCAGCACGCCGCGGUGAAUACGUUCCCGGGCCUUGUACACACCGCCCGUCACACCACGAGAGUUUUAACACCCGAAGUCGGUGAG